rnacentral:rRNA from 1 species
ACUCCUACGGGAGGCAGCAGUAGGAAUUUCCGCAAUGGACGAAAGUCUGACGGAGCAAUGCCGCGUGAGUGAUGAAGGUUUUCGAAUCGUAAAGCUCUGUUGUAAGGGAAGAAUAGCAAGAAUAGGAAAUGUUCUUGUCUGACGGUAUCCUUACCAGAAAGCCACGGCUAACCUACGUGCCAGCAGCCGCGGUAAUACGUAGGUGGCAAGCGUUAUCCGGAAUUAUUGGCGGUAAAGCGCAUGUAGGCGGCUUUUAAGUCUGAUGUGAAAGCCAGUUGGCUCAACCACUGAAUUGCAUUGGAUACUGGAAAGCUAGAAUCUUGGAGAGGUAAGUGGAAUUUCAUGUGUAGCGGUGGAANGCGUAGAUAUAUGAAGGAACCCAAUGGNAAGGCNCUUACUGACAGUAUUGACGCUGAGAUGCGAAAGUGUGGUAGCAAACAGG